rnacentral:rRNA from 1 species
UAAGGAGUAUUGGUCAAUGGACGCAAGUCUGAACCAGCCAUGCCGCGUGAAGGAUGAAGGUCCUCUGGAUUGUAAACUUCUUUUAUCUGGGACGAAAACGGGAUUUUUAUCUCAAUUGACGGUACCAGAGGAAUAAGCACCGGCUAACUCCGUGCCAGCAGCCGCGGUAAUACGGAGGGUGCGAGCGUUAUCCGGAUUUACUGGGUUUAAAGGGUGCGUAGGUGGGCUUAUAAGUCAGUGGUGAAAUCUCCGAGCUUAACUUGGAAACUGCCGUUGAUACUAUAGGUCUUGAAUUAUCUGGAGGUAAGCGGAAUAUGUCAUGUAGCGGUGAAAUGCUUAGAUAUGACAUAGAACACCAAUUGCGAAGGCAGCUUACUACAUAUAAAUUGACGCUGAGGCACGAAAGCGUGGGGAUCAAACA